AACUUGGAUUGGGUUUAACCCUAACCCACCCACCCAACGCAUUCGUUGGGUAAGGUUUCAUGGUAGAAGCUUUUGGAUUGGGUUUGAGUUUAAAAAUCCCAAGCAUACUUCAAGAGGGGUUGGGUUAGGAUUAAUUUCCAAUCCAAAUUGAACCCCAAACCCGCGCUAACUUAUAUCAAACCUAAGUUGAUCUGAGUCAUCCCGGCUUAACUAGAUCAAAACCAACAAAAUAAAUAAAUAAAUAAUAUUCAUAUUUCAUACAGCUUUCUAAUAUGUUUAUACAAUUAUAAAUUUAAUUUUAUUAAAUUAUGUCUAAGUAUAUCUAUUACGAUGGUACCGUGAAUACCUCGGAUAUGGUGUAUUAUAUACUGAGAAUGCCUCGAAUCCUGUGUUAUCACUAAUAUCUCUGGCCAGCGAGCUAUCUCCGUGGUUGCCAAUCCAAACACUAAGCUGAGGCACGUGGAGCCGACUUAUUUGUAUCCAGCUUAUUGUGCGGCUCCUUCUGUUGCCUCGGCUCGUCGGUUCUUUGAUAUGAGCAGUAGCUGUCCACCUCAAGAGGAUAAUCUCGGAUGUAACUAACUCUCCAUGAUCUCGUGGGGGCAGAUAAGUUUGCGGGAG
rnacentral:lncRNA from 1 species